AAGGCUGAAUAUGAGAAAAUCUUAAAAGGCGCUGACAAUAGAAGAUAGUACCAAUCUGUCUCGUUCGGCAAAAGGCUACAAUCAUAAGUUUGCUGGUAUUGCUAGUUUCUUGAAUCCAAUCAUCCAUUUUACCUAUCAAGGUGUGAUUUCUUUAACUAGCUUAGGUGAGCAAAAUCUUCUGACCUUCGUUCUCCUCUUUCAUUCUAAUUUACUAUAAUUUUAUUUCAAGAGCGUAGAAUGGCUGACCGGUUUAGAUUGCAUGUUAAGGGAGGUGACAGUGGAAGUGGGAAUGGAAGUUUGUGACGUAGUUGAACUGAUCGGUAUGGCAAGCCUGAUGGUGGGUUUGACUCUAACUUGAUUUCAGAAUGAUUAGUGAUUUCACUUUUAAUGGUGAUCACCUUCUAAUAGGAAUCAUAGUUUUACCGAUAACACAAUCUAUAUUCCCCUUAUUUUACAGGUGAAAAGGCGGUGAUGUGAUUAACAUCGUAUUCUAUGUAUCUGCUAUUGCUGUAUUUUAGGUCAUGGAACAAUUAAUUCAUUCAUUAUAGAUGAUAUCCUUGUGGCUAAUUUGCAGAAUGGACGAUGGGGUGGGCAUGGUACUUCAAAGAAUAAGAUCGGCAGCCGUGGAGAAGACAAGGUUGUGCAAGUUCCUGUUUCUACUGCUAUCUAUUUUGUGGAGAGUGAAAUCCCUUCAAUAGUGGAGAAGUCAUCUUCUGUGAUUCACCC